rnacentral:rRNA from 1 species
AGAGUUUGAUCAUGGCUCAGGAUGAACGCUAGCGGGAGGCCUAACACAUGCAAGCCGAGCGGUAUUGUUUCUUCGGAAAUGAGAGAGCGGCGUACGGGUGCGGAACACGUGUGCAACCUGCCUUUAUCUGGGGGAUAGCCUUUCGAAAGGAAGAUUAAUACUCCAUAAUAUAUUGAACGGCAUCGUUUAAUAUUGAAAGCUCCGGCGGAUAGAGAUGGGCACGCGCAAGAUUAGCUAGUUGGUGAGGUAACGGCUCACCAAGGCGAUGAUCUUUAGGGGGCCUGAGAGGGUGAUCCCCCACACUGGUACUGAGACACGGACCAGACUCCUACGGGAGGCAGCAGUGAGGAAUAUUGGUCAAUGGGUGCAAGCCUGAACCAGCCAUCCCGCGUGAAGGACGACUGCCCUAUGGGUUGUAAACUUCUUUUGUAUAGGGAUAAACCUACCCUCGUGAGGGUAGCUGAAGGUACUAUACGAAUAAGCACCGGCUAACUCCGUGCCAGCAGCCGCGGUAAUACGGAGGGUGCAAGCGUUAUCCGGAUUUAUUGGGUUUAAAGGGUCCGUAGGCGGACUUAUAAGUCAGUGGUGAAAGCCUGUCGCUUAACGAUAGAACUGCCAUUGAUACUGUAAGUCUUGAGUAUAUUUGAGGUAGCUGGAAUAAGUAGUGUAGCGGUGAAAUGCAUAGAUAUUACUUAGAACACCAAUUGCGAAGGCAGGUUACCAAGAUAUAACUGACGCUGAGGGACGAAAGCGUGGGGAGCAAACAGGAUUAGAUACCCCGGUAGUCCAA